CCCACUCCUUGAUUGCUUUUACUUUUGCUUCAUCCAUCUUCAAGCGCCCGUGGCCAAUGAUAUGUCCAAGGAAGUGCACCUCCUCCUUGGCAAAGGAACAUUUUUCCUUUUUGAUGUAUAGCUCAUUCUCCCGCAAUGCUUGGAACACCGUUCGGAGAUGUUUUGCGUGAUCCUCCAAGUUGUCACUAUAGAUGACAAUGUCAUCCAAGUAUACCACCACGAACUUGUCCAAGUAAGGUUGGAAAAUCCUAUUCAUCAAUGUGCAAAAUGUGGCCGGGGCGUUGGUUAAGCCAAAAGGCAUUACCAACCAUUCGAAUGAGCCAUAUCGAGUGAUGCAUGCUGUCUUAGGCUCAUCCCCUUCUGCAAUCCGUACUUGGUAAUAUCCCUUUUGUAGAUCCACCUUUGUGUAAUAUUUUGCACUACCAAGUCUAUCAAAUAAAUCAGCAAUCAAAGGAAUAGGAUACUUGUUUUUAAUUGUUACCUUGUUGAGCGCCCGGUAAUCUACACACAUGCGUAGCGAUCCAUCAUGCUUCUUUUGGAACAAGACCGGAGCGCCAUAAGGUGCCUUCGAAGGUCGUAUCCUCCCCGUGUCAAGCAACUCCGUCAAUUGCCUUCGAAGUUCUUCCAGCUCCGGCGGUGCCAUCCGAUAGGGUGCCAUGGAUGGUGGUUUGGCACCCGGUUCCAACUCAAUCUUAUGAUCCACCUCCCUCCUAGGUGGUAAUUUCUUGGGUAACUCCGGCGGCAUCACGUCCUUAUUUUCUUCAAGGACAUUCUUGAUGACUUCGGGUACAUUAUCGUCAACCACAACUUCCUCA
rnacentral:lncRNA from 1 species